rnacentral:rRNA from 1 species
GUCCACGCCCUAAACGAUGUCUACUAGUUGUUGGGAGAGUAAAAUCUCUUAGUAACGCAGCUAACGCGUGAAGUAGACCGCCUGGGGAGUACGGUCGCAAGAUUAAAACUCAAAGGAAUUGACGUGGGCCCCGCACAAGCGGUGGAUUAUGUGGAUUAAUUCGAUGCAACGCGAAAACCUUACCUGGCCUUGACAUGCCGAGAACAUUGCAGAGAUGCGAUGGUGCCCGAAAGGGAACUUGGACACAGGUGCUGCAUGGCUGUCGU